rnacentral:rRNA from 1 species
CCCUGAGGGGGAAAGUGGGGGACCGCAAGGCCUCACGCGAAUGGAGCGGCCGAUGUCAGAUUAGCUAGUUGGUGGGGUAAAGGCUCACCAAGGCGACGAUCUGUAGCGGGUCUGAGAGGAUGAUCCGCCACACUGGGACUGAGACACGGCCCAGACUCCUACGGGAGGCAGCAGUGGGGAAUUUUGGACAAUGGGCGCAAGCCUGAUCCAGCCAUGCCGCGUGCGGGACGAAGGCCUUCGGGUUGUAAACCGCUUUCAGCCGGAAAGAAAUCGCUGUUUUUAAUACGGACAGUGGAUGACGGUACCGGAAGAAGAAGCACCGGCUAACUACGUGCCAGCAGCCGCGGUAAUACGUAGGGUGCGAGCGUUAAUCGGAAUUACUGGGCGUAAAGCGUGCGCAGGCGGUUUUGUAAGCCAGACGUGAAAUCCC